GAUGAAGAACGCAGCGAAAUGCGAUAAGUAAUGUGAAUUGCAGAAUUCAGUGAAUCAUCGAAUCUUUGAACGCACCUUGCACCCUUUGGCAUUCCGAAGGGUAUGCUCGUUUGAGUGUCAUUGUACUCUCACUCUCCCGAUGCUUUUGGAUCGGGAGUGGUGGACUUGGGUGUUGCUGCUUUGCUGUGGCUCGCCUCAAAUGGAGUAGUGCAACUCUUGGUUGGACAUAGUACGGCGUGAUAAGUGUCUUCGCCGGCGCCUCAUUAUAGAGGGUGGCCGAUCGGGAGCUCUGUGCUUCAAACCGUCUUCGGACAACAUCUGACAACUUGACCUCAAAUCGAGUAGGACUACCCGCUGAACUUAAGCAUAUCAAUAAGCGGACGA
rnacentral:misc_RNA from 1 species